UGUACACGCUGUGACUAGCAUAUCAAUAAGCGGAGGAAAAGAAACUAACAAGGAUUCCCUUAGUAACGGCGAGUGAAGCGGGAAGAGCUCAAAUUUGAAAUCUUCAAGGCUCUACCUUGACGAAUUGUAGUUUAAAGAAGUGUUUUCUGUUAGCGGAGUGGCAAAAGUUCUUUGGAAUAGGACAUCAUAGAGGGUGAGAAUCCCGUAUUUGGUCAUUCCUUCUAGCUUUGUGAUACACUUUCAAAGAGUCGGAUUGUUUGGGAAUGCAGUCCAAAAUGGGUGGUAAAUUUCAUCUAAAGCUAAAUACUGGCGAGAGACCGAUAGCGAACAAGUACCGUGAGGGAAAGAUGAAAAGAACUUUGAAAAGAGAGUUAAACAGUGCGUGAAAUUGUCAAAAGGGAAGCGUUUGACACCAGUGUUGUUGUGGAGAAAUCAAUUGUGUGGAACGGGUUGUUGUGGGGUUGAGACCUUAUCAGCUCUCCUUACUCUUUACCUUUUUCACGCAAUGCACUUUCUCUUUAACAAGUCAACAUCAAUUUCUUUUGUUGUAAAAGGGCCGGCGGAAGGUGGCUUUCUUUUCGGAGAAAGUGUUUAUAGCCGUUGGUCUCUACAAUCGGAGAGAUUGAGGUCUGCAGCGUAGAUCCUUUGGGGUUAGAUACGUUGGUGCUAAGUUAUAAUCCUACAUAGACAACUUGUUGACUAUGUUCGAUCAUGUAGCUUACUCGCUAGCGCUAUUUUACCUACGCUUAGGAUGUUGAUCUACAGAGCGAGAGU
rnacentral:rRNA from 1 species